rnacentral:rRNA from 1 species
UAACCUACCCAUCAGAGGGGGAUAACACUUGGAAACAGGUGCUAAUACCGCAUAACAGUUUAUGCCGCAUGGCAUAAGAGUGAAAGGCGCUUUCGGGUGUCGCUGAUGGAUGGACCCGCGGUGCAUUAGCUAGUUGGUGAGGUAACGACUCACCAAGGCCACGAUGCAUAGCCGACCUGAGAGGGUGAUCGGCCACACUGGGACUGAGACACGGCCCAG